AGCUCAGCUGGGAGAGCGCCUGCUUUGCACGCAGGAGGUCAGCGGUUCGAUCGAAUA
rnacentral:tRNA from 1 species